GUGUGUGUGUGUGUGUGUGUGUGUGUAUUUAGCAGUCUGUGUGUGUGUAUUUAGCAGACUGUGUACUCAUCAGUCUGUGUGUGUAUUCAGCAGUCUGCUAAAUACAGACAGACUGCUAAAUACACAUACAGACAGACUG